rnacentral:rRNA from 1 species
GAUGAACGCUGGCGGCGUGCUUAACACAUGCAAGUCGAGCGAUGAAGCCCAGCUUGCUGGGUGGAUUAGUGGCGAACGGGUGAGUAACACGUGAGUAACCUGCCCUUGACUCUGGGAUAAGCCUGGGAAACUGGGUCUAAUACUGGAUAUGACUUCUCAUCGCAUGGUGGGGGGUGGAAAGAUUUAUUGGUCUUGGAUGGACUCGCGGCCUAUCAGCUUGUUGGUGAGGUAAUGGCUCACCAAGGCGACGACGGGUAGCCGGCCUGAGAGGGUGACCGGCCACACUGGGACUGAGACACGGCCCAGACUCCUACGGGAGGCAGCAGUGGGGAAUAUUGCACAAUGGGCGCAAGCCUGAUGCAGCGACGCCGCGUGAGGGAUGACGGCCUUCGGGUUGUAAACCUCUUUCAGUAGGGAAGAAGCGAGAGUGACGGUACCUGCAGAAGAAGCGCCGGCUAACUACGUG